CACGUAGGUGGCUUGACAAGUUAAUGGUGAAAUCCCGGGGCUUAACUCCGGAACUGCCUUUAAGACUGUUGAGCUUGAGUGAAGUAGAGGAUAGCAGAAUUCCCAGUGUAGAGGUGAAAUUCGUAGAUAUUGGGAGGAAUACCGGUGGCGAAGGCGGCUAUCUAGACUUCUACUGACACUGAGGUGCGAAAGCGUGGGGAGCAAACA
rnacentral:rRNA from 1 species